CCUUAUCAACCUUUUUGGUUAUAAUCUUUCUGAAACGUUUGUCAUUUUCUUUUUCUUUUAAGAUAUUUCUUUUAGAUAUUUGAAUGGAACAGACUGUGGCCUAGUGUCAGUCAGGUAAAAAAUGUUCCACUUCACAUUUUAACUGUGGUGGCACAGUGGCGAGCUGCUGCCUUACAACGCCAGGGACCCGGGUUCGAUCCUGACUGUGGGUGCUGUGGAUGUGUGUCUCUGAUGUUGCCAACUGCCUCUUUAAGACAGCAAUUCCUGUGGAUCCCUUCGCUGGUGGGGAGGUUAGAAUCUGUGAUGGACUGGGCAGUGUUCACGCACAGUUUUAUUGAGAACAGAGUUGCAUUUGAACAGAGAGGUACGUUUUUCAGAGCAUCUUCAAAUGGGGGCAGAGACAGGAAGAUGUUUAAGCUGGCAACAUCAGAGGUUUGGACUAUUGUAACUGAAAGACACAUGUGGUAGAAUUUAAAUUUAAAAUCAAAUUUGUAGAGAGUGGAAUUAUUUGAGCAGAGUUCUCAUAAGGUUGUAGGGUUGAAGCAGAUUGCAGACAAGCUGAAAGUUCUUGACUAAAAUCAUUAAUUUUAUAUCAAGGACCAGCCUCUGCCAGAAAGGAAUUUAUGAGGAGCCUAGUAAAAGAAAGUCUAGCUCUGCAGUAAAUUGUGCCAUGCACAAAACACAUUGCAACUUUCACCAAAAGGUGUGAGAAUAAUCAGAUAUCCCUGGCCUAUGGUUCAAUGGUUUAAUGGAUAAUUAUUGGCACAUAUGCAAUCAAACAUUGCGUAAUGAAAUUCAUUUUGCAUAUAACGCCAGUGGCAUAUGUGGCGCCAUUUUGUCGAGUUCAAAGUCCAGAUUCCCGUUUGUUUGUUCUACCGAGAAGCUCCCAAUGUGUGGAAGAAACAAGAAACUUUAGUUUAGUGUAGAGAGUCCCUUCGACCCAUGGAGUCCGCACCGAGCAGCGAUCCCUGCACAUUAACACUAUCCCACACACACUAGGGACAAUUUACACUUAUACUAAGCCAAUUAAUCUACAAACCUGUUUGUCUUUGGAGUGUGGGAGGAAACCAAAGAUUUCGGAGAAAACACGCACAGGUACGGGGAGAAAGUACAAACUCCGUACGGGCAGCACCCAUGGUCAAGAUCGAACCAGGAUCUACUGGGGCUGUAAGGAAGCAACUCUACUGCUGCGCCACUCUGCUGCCCCGUGGGAGAAACAAGUUAUGUGGACGAAACCAGAAACUAUGUGCAGAAAGAAUGAAAACAAAGGAAGAAUUGGAAAUAUCACCACAAGUCGUCGCCAAUCUGGAGAUAUUCUGUUAGUGUGUCCAGGAUACAAGACAAUAUCUCUCUUUAUGAUCGCCUAGUUUUUGUUGGGGGAGGUGGAGAUUUACUUGGGCUGCACUGGCAGCCUAGGAAAGAAAGCUGUCAUCUUAAAUAUACAUACUUCUUCAAAUGUGUACCGCAAAGAAUAGAUCAGGUUUUUAAAAACAUGAAUAUUGGAUUCUUCACAUUAUUACAGUAUGCGUGUUCAAUUACAAAAUUGAAGUCAGGUUUUUCUUGGGUUGAGAAUUUCAUGCCCAAAUACCGAUUCAUUCACCAGUUUCUGAGAAUUGCUUUUAACCUUCCAAUUCCUUCGUUCUGCGAUCCAUAAAAAUACACAGAAACAUACGAUAUGAAAAAUGAGUUGUGCAGAUAAUGCAGUUCUAUAUGCAAUGUAUUGUGGGAGGAAAAGGUGGUCACGCCAUUUUGUAAUGCACAACUCCAGCCUGCAGUUUGAGUUACAGGCCACAGUUGAGUUACAGCGGAGGUUUUGUAAACCACCAGUUGCUCUUGUGAAGGAAGGAACUGCAGAUGCUAGUUUAAACCGAAGAUAGACACAAAACGCUGGAGUAACUCAGUGGGUCAAUCAGCAUCUCUGGAGAAAAGGAAUAAGUGAUGUUUCGGGUUGGGGAAGAAGGAUCUUGACCAGAAACGUCACCUAUUCCUUUUAUCCAGAGAUGCUGGCUGACCCACUGAGUUACUCCAGCUUUGUGUGUCUAUCUUUUGUUGCUCAUGAGUUUUGUGCUGAACCUAUUUAAUCUACAGCAUUACAAAACAAAACUGUUGGCAGUUGCCUGAAUUUUAAUUGAUCUGCUGAUUGGAGAUACUUAUGUCCAUCAGGUAAAUUUUACCGGAGGAAUUUUUGGUAAAUUGAUCAAUAACUCGAGGGGGAAAAUGAGUGAGUGAGCGUGCACGUUUGUGUGAGAAAAGUUAGAAAUCGAACAGAGGAGAUGUUGAUGGUCUGACAGGAAGAGAUGGAAAUUGAAAAAUUGAAAUGGUGGACAAAAAAAAGGAUGAAAAAGUAUAAAAUAUUUAGAACUGCGAGAUACCAGAUAGCCUGAUUUUCUAUAUCGAGAUGUGUAAAAUUAUAGUCCAAAGCAAAAUAUCACAAAAAAAAGGAUUUUGUUUUCAAGCUUUUUGUGUCUAAUAUUCCCUUGAAUGACACAUUGGUUAACACAACCAAGGCUGGGCAAUGUUCACUCGCUAAUGUAAAAUAUGAAAUUAAUAAUUAAUAAUAACUCAGUCUAUGGCCUAUAUGUUGUAAUAAAAGCAUGGGUAGUGGCAACUAAUGGUACCAAACAUUAUGGGAAUAGAGAUUCCUGAUGCAUCAUAGUGUUUUAAGAACUUGAAAUGACUUUCACUGAAGUAAACAAAUGGAUGAAAGCAGAUGUAGGCAAGAGAGUAAUGGUGAGGGCGAGCUGUGUGUGUGUGUGUGUGUGUGUGUGUGUGUGUGUGUGUGUGUGUGUGUGUGUGUGUGUGUGUGUGUGUGUGUGUGGUUGGAAUAAUAACACAUGGGCGGCAGUGGCACAGCUGCUGCCUCAGUGCCAGUGACGGGUUUAAUCCUGACCUCAGGUGCUGUCUGUGUAGAGUUUGCAUGCUCUCCUUGCAACCUCGUGAGGUUCUUCCGGAUACUCUGGUUUUCUCCCACAUCCCAAAGAGAUGCGGUUUGUAGAUUAAUUAUACUCAGAGGAGAGAGGUUGGAGUGUGAGGGUGUGUCCAGUAGAGGUGGGGUGCAGGGGCUUUGUAGCCAGUUCCACCGCAAGGCUCCUGAGGGAAGUAGGAGUCAAAGGGCAGGCACAAAGGAGGGCAAUAAAAUAACUUGCCAAUGCCGCCGAAUGGAGCAGUCACUGGCUGUGGCUGAAGAGCAAAGAUGCUGUCUGGGCUGCCACGUGACCAUCUAGAGGCUAACAAUAACACACACACCCAGGUCGGAUCAACCUGCAGUGGGCCUGCCUCGACUGAGGGGGUGUCGUGAUAAAAGGCCGAAACACCCAGUGACGUUGAGGUACACAACUGAAGAUGUGUCUGAUUGUCAGCAAAUUCACCUAGUGGUCAUACCAAGAAUGUCAAUUGUAGCGAAUAUUAGGGAUUGUAACAUCCAGUCCUACUAAUCAAUCUGAAAAAAAAAGUCCCUAAUGUGAGAAAGUGGAAUAACAGAGAAGUAAUGUGAAUAGGUGAUUGAUGGUCAGUAUGGACUCAGUGGGCAGAAGGUCCUUUAUCCGUGCUGCAUCUAUAAACAAUAAGGAAGUGCCGUGGGUUAAAUAAAGCCUAAUGUGAUAUCAUCUAUUCUUUUUCCCCAGAGAUGCUGCCUGACCAGUUGAGUUACUCCAGCUGUCCGUGUCUGGCUUCAGUAUAAACCAGCAUCUGCCAUUCUUUCCUACACACUGGUGUGAGUGCAGCAAGUUGGUGGUAUCCUUCCUUCUCCUGAUGUAGGACACCCAUCCCUCACUAGAUCCCUUCCUCCAGUCUCCCCCUUGGUCUGGAAGCCAUACUUUAACCUGCUGACACAAGCGACAGUACUUUGGUAUUUUGUGGAGGUGGUGCCCACAUACAGUAAAGAAAGUGUCCCACUCCAAGCAAUUUCAGGCCAUGUGGGAUCUGCCAGUGUGGCCAUGACUGCCAGUUGAAACUAGGUGUUCAAAUAGCGUCAUUUUCUGGGCACACUUCCAAGUUCUCAUGAGCUUUGAGUAAAGUAGUUCCCGUACUACCCUUUAAGUUGAUCGAUUUAGACAAGAGUAGAGGGAAUGUACUGCCUGAGUAACGUUUUACUCAGACCCGUGGACAUUGCAGAAACGUGAUUAGAAGUCCAAGUAUUAAACACACAUUAUAGUGAUGUAUGCUUUCUGCUUCAAUGGUUUCAGAAGCACACACACACACACACACACACACACUAUUCCAUCUUUCAUUUGCCAUGUGUGACCACGAAGGUUUGUUUAUGUAUUUCAACUGUUAUAACUUUGCAUUCUUCCUCUCUAAUAUCAGUGGGCGCAGCAGUAGGUUUGCUGCCUUACAGCGCCAGUGACUCGCCUUCCAUCCUGACUGCGGGUGCUGUCUGUACGGGGUUUGUAUGUUCUCCCCGUGACCUCUUGGGUUUUCUCCAGGACCUCCGAUUUCCACCUACACUCCAAAGAUAUACAGGCUUGUAGGGUAAUUAGCUAGGUCAAAUUGUAAAUUGUCCCUGGUGUGUGUAUGAUGCAGGGAACGCACACCCCCAGAUUCAGGGACAGUUUCUUCCCAGCUGUUAUCAAGCAACUGAACCAUCCUCUCACCAACUAGAGAGCAGUCCUGCACUACCAUCUUCCUCAUUUGAGACUCUUGGACUAUCUUUCAUCGGACUUUAUCUUGCAUUAAAUGUUAUUCCCUUUAUUCUAUAUCUGCACACUUUAUCUAUUUAUUUAUUUAUUUGAUUCUUUAUUUCAAACAGAAUUAAAGAAUAAAAAGCAAGUGUGAAACAACAUACAAAAAAACAAAACAAGAAUAUUUAUAAAGUGUCAUAAACAAUAUCUAUAAAUAAAUUAAAUCGUAUGUGUCCGAAAAGGAGCAGGAAGAAGCCAAAGCUUAUUAAUUCCCACCCCUAAUUCAACUGCUUAUAAUUAUCUUAUACAAAUUUAGCAGCUAUAUGUACACCACAUGUACACCAGCAGCUAUAUGUACACCAAAUUAUUUACACUUUGAAUGGCUUGAUUGUGAUCAUGUGUAUUAUUCCCUCUGACUGGAUCACCUGCAAUAAGAAAGCUUUUCACUGCAACUUGGUACACGUGACAAUAAACUAUACUUAACUAAAACUAAUCCUGGGCCUCUACAGCUGAUCCACCGGGCCUCAGAUUUAACAUCCAAACUAACUAAACAAAAUAACAUGGUAUAAAAGUAUGAAGAGAAUCAAGCAGAGAAGGAUAUCUGACGGGUUAGAGGUGGGAGAAAAACAGCACAAGGAGUUGGCGAGAACUGAAAUGGCAGGGAGAUGGUUGUACAGGGAAUGUGAGCUAAAGAUUCAGAUUGAAAUGUUACUCCCUACUGCCGACUCCCAAUUCUUCAUGCAAAUGCCGAUAAAGAUUCAAACUGUCAGUCAGAAUGAUACAGUCACAAUGUGUGUGGAGUUUCUCUGUUCUCCCUGUGACCGCGUGGGUUUUCCCCGGUUUCCCCCCACAUCCCAAAGACGUGCGGGUUUGUAGGUUAAUUGGCCUCUUGCAAAAUUGCACUUAAUGUGGGUGAGAAAGUGGGAUAAUUAUAGAACCUGUGCAAACUGGUGAUCGAUGGUCAGCCUGGAUUUGGUGGGGCGGAAGGGCCUGUUUCCAUGCUAUAUCUCUCAACUAAACUAAACUAUUGGAGACACGAGGAACUGUAGGUGCUGGUGAACAAAAAAAGAUGCAAAGUGCUGGGGUAACUCAAUGGGUCAGGGAGCAUCUCUGGAGAACAUGGCGAGGUGAUUGUGGAAAACUGGAAGAUGUAUCUUCUGUAUCUCUCCUUUCCCUUUCCCCCGACUCUCAGUCUGAAGAAGUGUUUUGACCCGAAAUGUCACCUGGCCCUUUUCUCCACAGAGGCUGCCUGUCCCGCUGAGUGGCUCCAGCUUUUUGUGGCUAUUUUCUCAAGGUGUCUUCAACGCCAUUCAGUAGGGGAAUCCUACUCCAGGGCUGAGAGUAUUUUCUAUUGUAGAAAUGUCUAAACCCAUAGGGCUGUGCUUUUUUUUUUCCAUGAUAAUGUCCAAGACUUGCAGCUAUUCUAAUGGGAACAUUCACGGUUCAGACAGAGUGAUUCCAGAUUCUUAAGAGCAGUGAGAUGUCUCAGGAAGCCCUGUUCCCACAGUGUUUAAAACCAUUUAGCCUCUGCGGAGACAGGCACUGUGAGUUGUAUGAUUUUUAACGAUGGUGCAUAGAUCGAGCCAAACAUUUAUUUAUUACAUUGCAGGAAAACUUUGGGUCAUUUUAACAGUGGCUGGAGACUUCAGGGAAUGCUGGGCUUAACUAAUGAUCUUCACAGUGAAGAUUUCAUCACCCGAUACCAAUAAAUUGUCAGAGUAACACAGUGGUCACUGACAAUGGAAUGAUGAUGUUUACAAAAAGCUGGAAAGUGGGAAUGUGUGUGGGCCAGAUUCACCUACAGCAAUGGCAAGAUGCAGGCAACAUGCUCCGUGGAGUUUCCUCCCACACCCCAAGGACGCACAGGAUUGCUCAGCUGUGGGUGGUGCAGCAUGAUGUGGCCUGUGCCAGGGAGUGGGAGGGUACAAAUUAACUCCCUGAAGAAUUCCCCGCAAGAACAUUCCUGGAGCCAGCCAAGCUGUGAUGGGGAGGCCGCCGAGCGGAGGCAAGCAGUUCCAAGGAAAGUCAAUCUGGGAAGUUGCUGCCUGCGCACUGAUGGUCAGUUAUACAGCAGCAGGAUCAACAAGAGGCACAUUAUAUGCAGACCACAGAAUGGACAUUUUAAAAACAAAUAUGCAAUGUUUCUAUUCAAAUUUUUCUUGAAUAUUGUUAAUUCAAAACUUCUUGAUAUUAUUUGAUUGCUUCAUUGAUUAAAAAAAAUACUUUUUUAAAAAUAAAUAUGAAAUUUUUAUUCAGAUUUUUCCUGAAUUAUAUUUGUGACAAGCAUGUUGCAAUGCAGCC